rnacentral:misc_RNA from 1 species
UGGUUCGGGCAUCGAUGAAGAACGCAGCGAAAUGCGAUAAGUAAUGUGAAUUGCAGAACUCAGCGAAUCAUCGAAUCUUUGAACGCACAUUGCGCCCGGGAGUAUUCUCCCGGGCAUGCCUGUUCGAGCGUCAUUUCAACCCUCGCGCCCAGCGCGGUGUUGGGGCCCUGCGGCUGCCGCAGGCCCUGAAAUCCAGUGGCGGGCUCGCCAGGACUCCCAGCGCAGUAGCUUAACCUCGCUGUGGAUUACUGGUUGGUUCCAGCCGUGAAACACUUCUUUUACAAGGUUGACCUCGGAUCAGGUAGGAAUACCCGCUGA